CUCUGCGUCUUGUGACCUCUGCUUCCCCAGUACAUGAGAACAUUGAAGAAGGCAUGGCUUCUGUACUCCUGACAGCCGGGGCCAGCAUGGAUUUGCAGUUUCCAAACCAGAUGUCAUCUACCAAUUGGAGAGAAGAGAAGGAUCUUGGAUGCCAAAGGGAAAUAUCCCAAGAAACAACUGCCUAGGACGUGUCUCUGCUCCUUCAACUCUGCCUUCACAGCUUCUGGAUGAGGUACUUCCUUCUGGGCAAGUACCUUUGAUGAUAGCUGCCACAGCAAGUAAUGGUGGUGAAAGAGAGAACUCUCUCUUCCUUGCCAGUACCUGAAGGGAUCAGCCCUGGACAGAGCACAGUAUGAAGAUGGUGUCCCCAGCUCACUUCUUCUGCCUCCUCCUGCUUGGGCUUCCAGAUGCCAAUGGACAGAUUGUGAUAACCCAAUCUCCAACUUCCCUGUCUGUGACUCCAGGAGACACAGUCACCAUCUCCUGCACGGCCAGUCAAGACAUUAGCAAGUAUUUAAAAUGGCACCAACAGAAACCCGGUCAGUCUCCAAAGGGACUCAUCUAUUACACUUCCAGCCUGCAGUCUGGGGUCCCAUCCCGGUUCAGCGGCAGUGGGUCUGGCACAGAUUACACUCUCACCAUCAGCGGUGUGGAGACUGAAGAUGCUGGAGUUUAUUACUGUCAGCAUUAUAAAAGCUAUCCUCCCACAGUGCUCCAGCCCUGAAUAAAAACCUCCCCAGGCAGCUCAGCUGCUUCCUCUGUG